CAAAGUAUAGCUUAACCAAAGCCUCUCGCUUACACCGAGACUAUAUCUGUUAAACCCGGAUUACUCUGA
rnacentral:tRNA from 1 species